rnacentral:tRNA from 1 species
AACGACAUAGUUUAAGGUUUUUCGAGUAAUGAUUGCUUUGCGUGUGAUCGGUGUUGUUGGUUU